UGUGGUGCCAAACACCCGGAUAUAUCGUGACUUUUUAUGGUUGUGGGUAUUUUGUCCAUUGCCUCUUCGUGCCUCAGUUUGCCCAUGUUUCAUAUGGCAGAGUACAGUCCCUACCUGAGCACAAUGUGGAGCUUUCAGAAAUAGGCUGCAAGCCCACAAAGGAGUAGUGAUGGUUUUCUAAGGUGAACAAUCCAUCCUGGGGAAAAGGCCGCUUGUUUGUGAGCCCUCUGCCUUCCAAGUACACCUGGGAUGGCGCAAAUGCUCCCCUGGCUGUGGACCUGUCUUGCUUGGUACUAUGUCAGUUCCUGCUGUGACUGGACACUGCAUGAAAAUAAGACAGUUACAAAGUCUGCAGGUUUGAUCAUACUACAGCACUGUGAUGAUGGUGUGACUGUUAAUCCUGAUCCAUCAACUCCAUUGGAUUAAGAAAUAUCUCUCAGAUUACUACA